rnacentral:lncRNA from 1 species
AUCAAGAUGAUGUUAUAGAUUUUAUUUCCAUUUUGGAAGAAGGAAAUAAAGAAAACAUUGAUUAUGGUGAAAAAGUUUACUGGAGAGCUUGAACAAGAGGUAAAUAAAUUUUAAAUUAGUGGAAAACUGUUGAUUUGUAUGUAAAGA